AUUGAACGCUGGCGGCAUGCCUUACACAUGCAAGUCGAACGGCAGCAUGAUCUAGCUUGCUCGAUUGAUGGCGAGUGGCGAACGGGUGAGUAAUACAUCGGAACGUGCCCUGUCGUGGGGGAUAACUAGUCGAAAGAUUAGCUAAUACCGCAUACGACCUGAGGGUGAAAGUGGGGGACCGCAAGGCCUCAUGCUAUAGGAGCGGCCGAUGUCUGAUUAGCUAGUUGGUGAGGUAAAGGCUCACCAAGGCGACGAUCAGUAGCUGGUCUGAGAGGACGAUCAGCCACACUGGGACUGAGACACGGCCCAGACUCCUACGGGAGGCAGCAGUGGGGAAUUUUGGACAAUGGGCGAAAGCCUGAUCCAGCAAUGCCGCGUGUGUGAAGAAGGCCUUCGGGUUGUAAAGCACUUUUGUCCGGAAAGAAAUGGCUCUGGUUAAUACCUGGGGUCGAUGACGGUACCGGAAGAAUAAGGACCGGCUAACUACGUG
rnacentral:rRNA from 1 species